rnacentral:lncRNA from 1 species
AACAGCUGCUGCCUCAAAUUACACAAAACAAACCGGAGUUUCAUUUAGUGAGAAACUGCAGGAGUUUCAGUCAGACAGACAUGUUCAUCAGGGAACCGUCAUCUCAUCAUCUCAUACUGCGGGAACAGAAACUACAGAGUACAGCUACUGUAAAAAUACAGGUGAGAGAUCCUCAGUACAGAGGAAAACCAGAGACUGAAUAUAAAUAUUUAUAUAUAUAUAUAUAUACAUAUAUGUGUAUAUAUAUAUAUAUAUAUAUAUAUAUACAUAUAUGUGUAUAUAUAUAUAUAUAUACACAUAUAUGUAUAUAUAUAUAUAUACAUAUAUGUGUAUAUAUAUAUAUAUAUAUAUAUAUAUAGAUAUAUAUAUAGAUAUACAUAUAUAUAUAAAAUAUAAAUAUAAAUAUACAUAUAUGUAUAUAUAUACAUAUAUAUAUAUAUAAAUAUACAUAUAUGUAUAUAUACAUAUAUGUAUAUAUACAUAUAUGUAUAUAUACAUAUAUAUAUUAUAUAUAUGUAUAUAUAUAUAUAUAUACAUAUAUGUAUAUAUAUACAUAUAUAUAUAUAUAUACAUAUAUAUAUAUAUAUAUAUAUGUAUAUAUACAGUCUAUGGUAAAAAUAAAUAAAUAAAUAAAACAGAGUCAAUAGUACAGAGGUGUUUCAUUGCUCAUUACUAGCGUUACUAGGGAAUGACGUUACACCCGAGUUGACGGCGGUCCAGUAAACAAGACGGAAAACUAAGAUUGACGCCUACAGUUACCCGAUGUUAGCUGUUGUUUACAAUUGUCAGUUGUUGUCAGUUGUUGUCAGCGGUUGUAAAUAAAGCAUAAUACAGUAUUUUAUUCUGAAAGAUGCUGGUCAGUACGACAUAAACCACUUAUUUAAUUUCACUAAAACAAAACAGAAGAGCUGAUAAUUAAAACAUAACGAGAGUUUUCACUGUUACUCGUUACUGAUGAUGCACUGCGCUGCCAUAUUGAAUUAUGACGUCGACGUCAAGUCAGGGUUGGCGAGGAUCGUCCGACUUUCAGAGUCGGAAAUCCGACUUCAGGGGGGCGUUCCAGAUGAUUUUCCGACUUGGAGCGCGGAAAUCCCGAUUUCCAAGUACAACUGGAACGCAGCAUUAGUCACGCCAUUACGUAACACCGCUACUUUUGCUACAAUCGAGUUAAGUCGGAACUCAGAUGUCGGAGCUGAAAAUGACGUCACAUCUGAAUUCCCGGCGUUUCAGUUACAAAGUCGGAAAAAAGCAAAAUCGGAGAAACAAGAUGGCGACAUCUACGAAAGUUACUUUAGCGCUUACCUUACAUUCAGACAAAGCAAAAAUAACUAAAAUAAGGCCAAAGUAACUUUCAGUCGCCAUGUUAAGAUGCUGAGGAGGAGGAGGAGGAGGAGGAGGAGAAGAGGAAGAGGAGGAGAGGAAAAGGAGGAUCCUCAUGUCUUAAAUCUGAAGGCCUCUGUUUCCCUCUCAGGUCGAUGGUUUCUGGUUUCUGCUCUCUGAGUGGACAGCGGUGAGGAAGUCCUCGGCGAACACUGCGUCCUGUAAGAAGCUGCCGUUUCCUCCUCGCUGCCCAAACAACAAUCAGC